rnacentral:rRNA from 1 species
GACAGAGGCCUCGAGCGUUAGGCGGAAUCACUGGGCUUAAAGCGCGCGCAGGCGGUCCUUUAAGUCUGAUGUGAAAGCCCACGGCUCAACCGUGGAGGGUCAUUGGAAACUGGGGGACUUGAGUACAGAAGAGAAGAGUGGAAUUCCACGUGUAGCGGUGAAAUGCGUAGAUAUGUGGAGGAACACCAGUGGCGAAGGCGACUCUUUGGUCUGUAACUGACGCUGAGGCGCGAAAGCGUGGGGAGCAAACAGG